rnacentral:rRNA from 1 species
AUUGAACGCUGGCGGCAGGCCUAACACAUGCAAGUCGAGCGGUAGAGAGAAGCUUGCUUUUCUUGAGAGCGGCGGACGGGUGAGUAAUGCCUCGGAAUCUGCCUGGUAGUGGGGGAUAACGUUCGGAAACGGACGCUAAUACCGCAUACGUCCUACGGGAGAAUGUGGGGGAUCUUCGGACCUGACGCUAUCAGAUGAGCCGAGGUAGGAAGAGCUAGUUGGUGGGGUAAUGGGUCACCAAGGCGACGAUCCGUAACUGGUCUGAGAGGAUGAUCAGUCACACUGGGACUGAGACACGGUCCAGACUCCUACGGGAGGCAGCAGUGGGGAAUAUUGGACAAUGGGCGCAAUCCUGAUCCAGCCAUGCCGCGUGUGUGAAGAAGGUCUUCGGGUUGUAAAGCUCUUGUGUCAGGGAAGAAACAGCAGCUCUAACGCAGUCUGCGAAUGACGGUACCUGAAGAAUAAGCACCGGCUAACUACGUGCCAGCCGCCGCAGUAA